rnacentral:lncRNA from 1 species
ACAUAUGGAGGUUCCCAGGCCAGGGGUCCAAUCGGAGCUGUAGCUGCCGGCCUACGCCAGAGCCAGAGCAACAUGGGAUCCGAGGCGUGUCUGCAACCUAUACCACAGCUCACGGCAACGCCGGAACCUUAACCCACUGAGCAAGGCCAGGAAUCGAACCUGCAACCCCAUGGUUCCUAGUCAGAUUCGUUAACCACUGAGCCACAACGGGAACUCCUUAACAGGUAAACAUUUAACAGGUAAGGAUGAUCAGACUAAAAACAAACAAGAAACUCAGCUGUAUGAUGUUUACAGGGGACACACCUAAACUACAAGGAUGCAAAAGCACUGAGAGAGAAUGAAAGCCAUACUAAGCCAAAUAAAUAAUUAAAAAUUUUUAAAAAUACGGUAUCUGUACCAUAUCAGAUGAAACAGACUUUAACAAAAAUACUCAUAGAAAUAAAAGAGAAUCACCGUGCAAUGGUAAACUGACCAGAAAGAUAAAAUAAUUCUGUUUCAAAUAUAAUAAUGUCACUUCAAAAUCAUAAAGCAAAGCUGACGGAACGCCAGGAGAAACGAACAGACCCCCUUCUCAGUGGGAGACUGACAUACCACUGUCUCUAACUGAUAAACCAAGCCAACCAAAGAGUACAGGACAUUUGAAUACUAUCAACGAACGGACCAAAUGGACGUAAGGAGGCUCUAAAGGCAAAGAAAACACAAGCUCCUCAAGCCACACAGAACAUUAAAGAAAAACCAACACUUUCUAGGCUAUAAAACAAACUUCAGUAAAUUUUUAAAGAUUCGUCUUUUACACAGCUAUUUUCUAACUUAACACCAUUAAGUUAGAAAUCAAUACGCUAUCUCUAACCUCCCCAUAUGUACCAAAUUUUUUUUUAAAAAAGCAUAUAUAUUUGUUUUCUAAAUAACCCAAGACUCAAAGGACAAAUCACAAUGAAAAUGGGGAGUUAUUUGGAACCUAAUGUAAAUGAAAAUAUGAUUUAUCAAAAUGCAUGGGCUGCAUCUGCAUGGUACUUAGAAGAAAUUUUAUAGCCUUGUGUUUACAUUAAAAAAGGGGAAAAGGUAAAAAAUUAGUGGGUCAAGCAGUCAAAGCAAAAUGUUGAAAAGAAAUAACAUCAAUAAUAAAUUUUUAAAGUAAAAAGAAAGGAAAUACUAUGAGAGUAUAAAUUAAUAAAAGAAGAAACAAAGAAUGGAAAAAGAAUGGAUAUAUGAAUAUGCAUAAUUGAAUUACUUUGCUAUACACCUGAAACUAACACGACAAAAAAAGCAAGCAUACUCCAAUAUAAAAUAAAAACUAAAUUAAGGAGUUCCCGUGUGGCGCAGUGGUUAACGAAUCCGACUAGGAACCAUGAGGUUGCAGGUUCCAUCCCUGGCCUGCUCAGUGGGUGAAGGAUCUGGCAUUGCUGUGAGCUGUGGUGUAGGUCGCAGACACUGCUCGGAUCCCGUGUUGCUGUGGCUCUGGUGUAGGCCAGCGGCUACAGCUCCGAUUCGAUCCCUAGCCUGGGAACCUCCAUGUGCCGUGGGAAGUGGCCCUAGAAAAGGCAAAAAGACAAAAAAAAAAAAAGGAUAAAAUAAAAUAAAAACUAAGUUAAACGGAAAAAAAAAAAAAAGAGGAAGAAACAAAGAUAGAACACAGAGAACCAAAUGUCGGUUCUUUGGAAAGGACAUUAGCUAAUAAGUCCCAAGCAGGAUUAUCAAGAGCAAAGGAGAAAGCACCAAGAAAACCUUUCAAGGAAUAGAUAACUCCAAUAGUAUACAAACUCUCUGAGCAAAUAAAAAGGAGGGAAUAUAUUACAACAUAUCUUUAACCUCAAAACCAGACAAAGGCAGUCUGAGAAAAGAAAAUUAUCAACCAGUCUCAUUCAUAAACAACGAUUCCAAACAAAAUAAUCAGCAUAUUAAAUCCAGGAAUGUGUAUCAAGUAUCGUAAUUAAGUUGGGUUUUUUCCAAAAUUGCAAGGUUGGUUCAACAUUAGAAAAUAACACAAUUUACCAUACUAGCAGGUUAAAGAAGAAAAAUAAUAUAUAACCAUCUCAAUAGAUAACAAAAUAGCAUUCUAUAAUAAUUCAACAACUUUUCCUAUUUGAAACAUCUAGUCAACCAGAAAUAUAAAUGGCACCACUCAACAAAACCGUUAACAGAUAUUAAGUUCAAUGUGAAAAGCUAAAAAGCAUCUUCCUUUUUUUUUUUUUUUUUUUGGCUGCACUCAUGGCAUAUGGAAGUUCCCAGCCCAGGGACUGAACCCACGCCUCCACGGUGACCAGAGCCAGUGCAGUCAGAUCCUUAACGCACUAUGCCACAGUGGGAAGUCCAGAAACAGCAGAAACCAACAGGGUGGAAUACCUGUUGUCAUAACUUUCAUUUUAGGACUUUCUGGGAGUUCUCAGCCAGUGCAAUAAAACAAAAGAAAAAUAAACCUCAAAGAUUUGGAAACAAAAACAUUCUUAUUACUCAUAGGGGUAUGAUUACCUUCUCAGAAAACCUGAGACUCACCAGACAAUUACUGGGAAAGUUAUUAGCAAUAAUGAGAAUUUUGGCAAGGUUCCUAGACAGAAAUAUCAGUAAAUAAAAGACAUUUUUGUUUACUCUUAGGGCUUUAAGGGAGCCUGUCAUUUAGCACUUUUCUUCUCUGUCACAGAUCUUAACAGAGAAAUAAAGCAAAGGAGGAAGGCUGGGUGAGGGUGAACUCUGUUUCUUACUGAUAAAUGAGGAUGCAGCUUUUAUCUGUGGGCAAGAGGGGUCCUUAGUACUGACCCUCAGGUCAGGAAGUCACACACUGGGCCACAGUGAAGGCGGCUGUCCCCAGCCGAGCAGCAGGGACCACCUGUCCCUGGGGGUGGCCAGCUGCCCAAGCAAAGAAGGUUGAGUAGGGACUGUUCUUGUCCAACCCUUGCUCCCAAAGUUUGCUCCCACACUUG